AUCAUACACAAGGAGGGCACUGGCCACCUGACUGCAGAGAGCCACUGCUGUGGAGUCACAAAGCGAAGCCUACCCUGUGGGAGAGCCAGGAACAUUUCUGACUUGUGGAAGGCCUGGGGCACCAUGGCAAAGGAGCAAGUGAGAUGGGCCAUCCUAAACGGCUGUCGCAUGCCAGGAUGAAGGGCCAUGCAUCCAUUCAUUUGGCUGGAUACUAAGGACAGGGCCAUGCUUCUGUUCAUCUACUGGGACACUAAGGAAUCUGCAAGGAAUCUAUUCAUCAGCUUGGAUACUAAGACAGAGCCAUGCAUCUAGUCAUCUUCUUGGAUACUAAGGAAAGGCUGCUUCUGUCUUUGUGCAAGACAGGGCUAUGCAUCUGUUCAAGUGGUGGGAUAAUAAGAUAAGUCUGCUUUGGUUUUCUUUAUGACAGAGCCAUGUUUCUGUUCAUCUACCAAGACAUUAAAGUAAUUCUGCUUCUGUCUUCCUACAGGAGAGAUCCGUAUAUCUUUUCACCUGUUGGGAUACUAAGAUAAGUCUGUUUGCCUUCCUACACAAUGGGGACAUGCAUCUAUUCAUCUGCUCAGACACUAAGGUAGGGAUGCUGAUGUCUUCCUACAGGAUAGGGCCAUGUAUCUCUUCAUCUUACUGGAUACCAAGAAUGGGGCCAUGCAUCUGUUCAUCUUCUCAUAUACUAAAAUCAUGCAUCUGUUCAUCUGCCUGAAUACUAGGGACAGGGCCAUGCAUCUGUUCAUCUUCUUAUAUACUAAGGACAGAUCCACACACUUCAUCUGCUUGGACACCAUGAAAGUCUCCUUCUGUCUACCUACAGGACACAGCCAUGAAUCUAUUCAUCAGCUCAGAUACCAAGGACCUUGUGCUUUCAAGGUAGGCAAAGCACCACUGAGCUACCUUCCCACCUGCUGAUGUCUUCCUGCAAGACAGGGUCAUGCAUUUGGUCAUCUUCUCAGAUACUAAGGUAAGGCUGCUCCUGUCAUCAUACAAGACAGGGCCGUGCAUCUGUUCAUGUGCUGGGAUACUAAGGUAAGUCUACUGAUGUUUUCCUACAUGACAGAAUCAUGCAUCUGUUCAUCUGCCUGAAUACUAGGGUAAGGCUCCUGAUGUCUUCCUGUAGGAUAAAGCCAUGCAUGUCUUCAUGGGCCUAGGUACUACCUUAAUUGUUCUUCUGUCUUCCCACAGGACAGGGCCAUGGAUCUGUUCUUCUCCUUAUAUACUCAGGUAAGUCUGCUUCUGUCUUCCUAGAGGACAGAGCCAUGCAUUUGUUCAUCUACACAGACACUAAGGCAAGUCUUUGGAUGUCCUCCUGCAGGACAGAUCCAUGCAUCUGUUAAUGUGCACAGAUACUAAAGUAAGUCUGUUAAAAUCCUUGUGUUGGACCCAGCUUCUUUUGAACUUUCUUGGUGGCCAUGGAGUGAGUGUUUUGUCCCCUGAAGAGUUCAAACUUACUUGGCAUCCUAACGAGAUACAGGUCCUCUUUUCUGUGGAUGGAUCAUCAAGUUGCCCUCAUGCAGUGGAAACACAGCCUUCAAAAGACAAAUGAUUCUCCCAUCCCUUUGAGUUCCUAUGUCUCAGCCUCCGGAACCUAGCCUAGAAUUGUACAAGACACCACCAGAAACCUCAGAAAUCAACGAGCAAAACACUGAAACAGAUUGCUUCUCCUCGCUGACUACAAGAUGGCUGCUACCCAUCCUGGGACCCUUCAUUGUCAUCAUCUGUAUGCAGCGCCUUGAUCAAUUUUUUUCCAAGGCUGGAUUCAUCCAGCCACUAACUUCCUCACCUCCCAAAAGCUGAUGAACAGAUAUCCCUACCGGUGUGAGACCCCAACCCCACCUACCAACUCAGCUCCUCCCCCUGACAAUGGCCCCAGUCAGCAUGAAGCUGCUACUUGAGACAGCUCAUGACCUCAUCCCUUAUAACAAGGAGCCGUGAAUGUAAGGCCUAAACCCACCAGGCCUAAGCACAGCAUCCUUCAUCCUUCAGCAGCCUUCUUGGCCCUAGCAGCAGCUCGGAAGGAGGCCUCAGCACUUAGUCCCUCUUCCCAUGUCCUCAGUGAAAGCCUGC
ensembl:lncRNA